rnacentral:rRNA from 1 species
AUUGAACGUUGGCGGCAGGCCUAAUACAUGCAAGUCGAGCGGUAACAGAUCGCUGUGAUCCCUUCGGGGUGAACUUGAUGCUGACGAGCGGCGGACGGGUGAGUAACGCGUAGGAAUCUACCCAGUAGCGGGGGAUAGCCCGAGGAAACUCGGAUUAAUACCGCAUACGCCCCACGGGGGAAAGGCGGGGAUCUCUUCGGAGACCUGUCACUAUUGGAGGAGCCUGCGUUGGAUUAGCUAGUUGGUGGGGUAAAGGCCCACCAAGGCGACGAUCCAUAGCUGGUCUGAGAGGACGAUCAGCCACACUGGAACUGAGACACGGUCCAG